UGGGGAAUCUUCCGCAAUGGACGCAAGUCUGACGGAGCAACGCCGCGUGAGUGAAGAAGGUUUUCGGAUCGUAAAGCUCUGUUGUUAAGGAAGAACGAGUGUGAGAAUGGAAAGUUCAUGCUGUGACGGUACUUAACCAGAAAGGGACGGCUAACUACGUGCCAGCAGCCGCGGUAAUACGUAGGUUCCGAGCGUUGUCCGGAUUUAUUGGGCGUAAAGCGAGCGCAGGCGGUUAGAUAAGUCUGAAGUUAAAGGCAGUGGCUCAACCAUUGUAGGCUUUGGAAACUGUUUAACUUGAGUGCAGAAGGGGAGGGUGGAAUUCCAUGUGUAGCGGUGAAAUGCGUAGAUAUAUGGAGGAACACCGGUGGCGAAAGCGGCUCUCUGGUCUGUAACUGACGCUGAGGCUCGAAAGCGUGGGGAGCGAACAGG
rnacentral:rRNA from 1 species